AUUGAACGCUGGCGGCAGGCAUAACACAUGCAAGUCGAACGAGUGGCGGACGGGUGAGUAAUGUCUGGGAAACUGCCUGAUGGAGGGGGAUAACUACUGGAAACGGUAGCUAAUACCGCAUACCAUCAGAUGUGCCCAGAUGGGAUUAGCUAGUUGGUGGGGGAACGGCUCAACAAGGCGACGAUCCCUAGCUGGUCUGAGAGGAUGACCAGCUACACUGGAACUGAGACCCGGUCCAGACUCCUACGGUAGGCACCAGUGGGGAAUAUUGCACAAUGGGCGCAAGCCUGCUGCUGCCAUGCCGCUCGUAUGAAUAAGGCCUUCGGGUUGUAAAGUACUUUCAGCGGGGAGUCGUUACCCGCAGAAGAAGCACCGGCUAACUCCGUGCCUGCCGCCGCGGUAAUUC
rnacentral:rRNA from 1 species